rnacentral:rRNA from 1 species
UACGUAGGGGCAAGCGUUGUCCGGAUUUAUUGGGCGUAAAGAGCGUGUAGGCGGCUAGGUAGGUCCGUUGUGAAAACUCGAGGCUCAACCUCGAGACGUCGAUGGAAACCAUCUAGCUAGAGUCCGGAAGAGGCGAGUGGAAGUUCCUGGUGUAGCGGUGGAAUGCGCAGAUAUCAGGAAGAACACCCGUGGCGAAAGGCGGCUCUCUGGUACGUGACUGACGCUGAGACGCGAAAGCGUGGGGAGCAAACAGG